AAGAGAACUUUAAGAUAGCUGGUCAUUAUGCUGACCGGGUGUCUGCACUAAGUUUGGCAUCAAUAUGGUGACCUCCUGGGAGAGGGGGCCACCAGGUUGCCUAAGGACAGGAGAACUGGUCCAGGUCAGAAAGGGAGCAGGUCAGAAUUCCUGCACCAAUCGGUAGUGGGACUGUGCCUGGGCAAUAUAGCAAGAUCUUGAUUCUU
ensembl:misc_RNA Metazoa_SRP Metazoan signal recognition particle RNA